rnacentral:lncRNA from 1 species
CCUUGGUUCUGCCUCUCUAGUCUUAGUACUUGUAGGCAUAUGGGGCUUAAAAUAGUUUAAUUGCAUGGUUUUAUUACGAGUGAUCUAUUCUCCGUGGAGCUGGGCAUGUUCCCUCUCCUGGAGUUGAUGAACUUAUGGGUGCUAGGCUAAAGAAAAAGGAAGCUGCAUGCAUGUUUACAGAAUUUUGGCUACAUUUUUUAUCUAGCUGUGAAUUCAGUUAUUUAAUGAAAUUUUCCAUUUUAAUACAUAACAUUUCAAUUUACCAUUUCAGAAGGAGAACUCAGCACAAGACGCUUGUAAAACUGUUUGAGGAAGUAUUUUGGGCUCACUUCUUGUCAGAUGGACAAGACCUGUGCUAAGCCACCUCAUCACCCACACAGUACACUGCCUGUACCAAGCAAGACCCCUACUUGAUAUGGCCAUCACAGGGGAUGAGAAGUUGAACUUGGAAGAGUUGUGUGAUUCUUCAUGCCCUAGGCAACUAGGGAGAGCCAAAUGCAGGAGGAGAUAAGUGGUAUUUGCCUCACUGCUGCUACCUUCUCUUUUAUUUUCUUGUAGUCAGGCAGUUUACGCUCAUAUUAACAAAACUUAAUCGUAAUUACUGAAUAGCCCUUUGUGUUCAUAGUGUUUUAAACCAGGCUCAGAAGUCAGUCUUUCUUGAUUCUCGAUGUUUUGGCUACUUGGCAGUUAACAAGGUUAAGAGGAAUGAAUUUGGACCAUCUGUGGCUGCAUUAUAUCAUGAUUUGGCAAUGGGCUCCAGAUGACUGAUAAUGAACCACAAAAACAGCUGGAACCAUUCCAUCCUCUCCUCUGCAGCAAAAUUCCACUUUGCACAUCGGUCUGAGUACAGUGGCUGGCGGGCUUCUACUGAAGAUGCCUCCAUAGGUAACAGGACUGAAAAAGGAACUCAAGACAGAUGCACAAGUCUUCCUUUUGAAUGUGUCAUUGGAUCUGAGUGUGAGUGCCUGCAAAGGAAGGAGAGCCUCAAGAGAUGUAAAAGAGUAAAUCCCAAAUUUCCUGAACUGAGAAACUAUCAGUGCCAAAUUACUUCACGUUACAGCUCUGAAAGUCAGAUAAAGACUUAUCUUCUUUGCAUGGGUGCAAAGGUGAACUGGGAUUUUAUUGCAUUUCCCUCAAGUCACAGAGGGAAACAGUCAGAUGUGCAAUAAUUCUUGUCUUGUGGUUCUGUACUGUUGUGCAAGACUAUGCUUAACACGACAUAAGAAAGAGUCACUGCAGUUAAGGUUGUUCGGCUUAGCAAGCUCUUAAAUAUCAACUCUUGAGGAAACAGGGAGAAGGCAGCUGCAGAGCCCUUGUCUUCUCUGUUGUGGAGACAAAAGAUUGAGUUUCAUUAACAGUUACACCUAUGGUGGUUCAAAAAUAAUUACCAUGUAAAAUGCAUUUGUGUUAGAAGCAACUAUAUAAUAAUCCUGAAACAAGCCUUACUAACCAAACUGAAAGUUUUGCCAGAGUAAAUAUUAAGUAAAUAUAAAUAAAAAGUAAAUAUUUCAGUCCUGUGACCCUAUA